GAUGAACGCUGGCGGCGUGCCUAAUACAUGCAAGUCGAGCGAAUGAUGAGGAGCUUGCUCCUCUGAUUUAGCGGCGGACGGGUGAGUAACACGUGGGUAAUCUGCCUGUAAGACGGGGAUAACUCCGGGAAACCGGGGCUAAUACCGGAUAACAAACGAAGAUGCAUAUCUUCUUUUUGAAAGUCGGUUUCGGCUGACACUUACAGAUGAGCCCGCGGCGCAUUAGCUAGUUGGUGAGGUAACGGCUCACCAAGGCGACGAUGCGUAGCCGACCUGAGAGGGUGAUCGGCCACACUGGGACUGAGACACGGCCCAGACUCCUACGGGAGGCAGCAGUAGGGAAUCUUCGGCAAUGGGCGAAAGCCUGACCGAGCAACGCCGCGUGAGCGAUGAAGGCCUUCGGGUCGUAAAGCUCUGUUGUUAGAGAAGAACAAGUACGAGAGUAACUGCUCGUACCUUGACGGUACCUAACCAGAAAGCCACGGCUAACUACGUGCCAGCCGCCGCCGUAAAAC
rnacentral:rRNA from 1 species